UCAUGCAGCAGCGCGAACUGUCCAGGUGUGUAUGAUGAUUGAUGCAGUUAAAAAGUCCGUAGUUUAUAUUUAAGAAGCAAUAUGAGGUGUACUGUAUAGUUGGGAGAAAGAUGAAAUGUGACGACCCUGACUGGACGAACAGAAGCGAAAGCUGUACACUUGUAUGUAUUUUUU
rnacentral:rRNA from 1 species